AUUGAACGCUGGCGGCAGGCCUAACACAUGCAAGUCGAGCGAGCGGCGGACGGGUGAGUAAUGUAUGGGGACUGCCCGAUAGAGGGGGAUAACUACUGGAAACGGUGGCUAAUACCGCAUACUAUCGGAUAACCCAUAUGGGAUUAGCUAGUAGGUGGGGUAAAGGUUCACCUAGGCGACGAUCUCUCGCUGGUCUGAGAGGAUGAUAAGCCACAAUGGGACUUGGAAACGGCCCAGACGCCUACGGAGGCAGCAGUGGGGAAUAGUGCACAAUGGGCGCAAGCCUGAUGCAGGCAUGCCGCGUGUAUGAAGAAGGCGUUAGGGUUGUAAAGUACGUUCAGCGGUGAGGCGUUACCCGCAGAAGAAGCACCGGCUAACUACGUGCCAGCAGCCGCGGUAAUAC
rnacentral:rRNA from 1 species